rnacentral:tRNA from 1 species
CUCGGUGUAGCUCAGAUGGCAGAGCGCGUGGUUAGGGACCACGAGGCCGCAGGUUCGAUGCCUGCCGCCGAGACCA